rnacentral:rRNA from 1 species
GACGAACGCUGGCGGCGUGCCUAAUACAUGCAAGUAGAACGCUGAAGGAGGAGCUUGCUUCUCUGGAUGAGUUGCGAACGGGUGAGUAACGCGUAGGUAACCUGCCUGGUAGCGGGGGAUAACUAUUGGAAACGAUAGCUAAUACCGCAUAAGAGUAGAUGUUGCAUGACAUUUGCUUAAAAGGUGCACUUGCAUCACUACCAGAUGGACCUGCGUUGUAUUAGCUAGUUGGUGGGGUAACGGCUCACCAAGGCGACGAUACAUAGCCGACCUGAGAGGGUGAUCGGCCACACUGGGACUGAGACACGGCCCAGACUCCUACGGGAGGCAGCAGUAGGGAAUCUUCGGCAAUGGACGGAAGUCUGACCGAGCAACGCCGCGUGAGUGAAGAAGGUUUUCGGAUCGUAAAGCUCUGUUGUAAGAGAAGAACGAGUGU